AUUGAACGCUGGCGGCAUGCCUUACACAUGCAAGUCGAACGGUAACAGGGAGCUUGCUCCGCUGACGAGUGGCGAACGGGUGAGUAAUAUAUCGGAACGUACCAUUGAGUGGGGGAUAACGUAGCGAAAGUUACGCUAAUACCGCAUAUUCUCUACGGAGGAAAGCAGGGGACCGCAAGGCCUUGCGCUCUUUGAGCGGCCGAUAUCAGAUUAGCUAGUUGGUGGGGUAAAAGCUCACCAAGGCGACGAUCUGUAGCGGGUCUGAGAGGAUGAUCCGCCACACUGGAACUGAGACACGGUCCAGACUCCUACGGGAGGCAGCAGUGGGGAAUUUUGGACAAUGGGCGCAAGCCUGAUCCAGCCAUGCCGCGUGAGUGAAGAAGGCCUUCGGGUUGUAAAGCUCUUUCAGCCGGGAAGAAAACGCAUCCUCUAAUACAGGGUGUGGAUGACGGUACCGGAAUAAGAAGCACCGGCUAACUACGUGC
rnacentral:rRNA from 1 species